GUGUUGUAUGUUAGGGAAGAAGAUUAGCACUCCCCUUGAGAAGGAUGGAAGAGGUCCUAGUGGCCUUUACAACACAUGUAGUCUUAAGGCAUUGCCACCUACUUUGUGCUAACUAUAUUUUUCU